rnacentral:rRNA from 1 species
GACGUAGGGCGCGAGCGUUGUCCGGAUUUAUUGGGCGUAAAGAGCUCGUAGGCGGCUUGUCGCGUCGACCGUGAAAACUUGGGGCUCAACCCCAAGCCUGCGGUCGAUACGGGCAGGCUAGAGUUCGGUAGGGGAGACUGGAAUUCCUGGUGUAGCGGUGAAAUGCGCAGAUAUCAGGAGGAACACCGGUGGCGAAGGCGGUUCUCUGGGCCGAUACUGACGCUGAGGAGCGAAAGCGUGGGGAGCGAACAGG